GCAUCAAAUUUUGAACUGUCUGGCAAAAUUCCACGAUCAGUUAUAUUAUGUCCUAAAUAGGUAACCUCUGCUCUAAAAAACUUACUUUUUUUACAUUGAGUAAGAUUGUAUUGUCUUAAUCUGUUGAAAACACGUACUAGGUUUGACAAAUGAUGUUGUAUCGAACAACCGAUGACAACAAUAUCAUCAAUGUACACAAAAGCACAUUCAGGGGACAAUCCAGCCAUAGCAAUGGUCAUCAUACGUUGAAAACUGUUUGGACUUAUAUUUAAUCCAUAAGGUAACCUCGUAAACUGAUAAUGACCAGACUGAGUGGAAAAAGCAGUAAAUUUUCUUGAUUCUUUAUCGAGAGGGAUUUGAUGGAAACCAGACAUCAAAUCCAGAGUUGAAAAAUACUUUGCCCUGCCAAGUUGAUCCAAAAUUGCAUCGAUCCUUGGCAAAGGGAAUUUAUCAGCCAUUACCUUCUUGUUGAGUUGCCUAAGGUCGACAACCGAACGCCAUUUUUUAUCUCCAUUACAGGAUUUUUUGGGUACAAGCAGUAUCGACGAAUUAUACGGGGAUACUGAAGGUUUAAUUAUUUUUUCAUUAAGCAUUUUACGAACUUGAGACUGAAUUUCUUCAUUAUUAUUUGGUUUGAUUGGCUUUUAUCGGUGUAUUUAAAUUACAAUUCACCGAUAAAAGCCAAUCAAACCAAAUAAUAAUAAAGGUCCACGGUGAUUAUCUUCAACCGAUGGAUGAAUUUCUUCAUGUUGAGAGUGUAUCGUCUUAUAAUUGGGGAUAUAACUGGGAAUUGGAUCAUUCAAUACUAUAUUUUGAGAGUAAAAAUUGUUUGUUGUUAAAUUUUCGUUUGGCAAACAGAAUAUAUCUGCAUAGUCUGUUAUGAGUUUGCUGAAUUCUCUUCUUGCAUACUCAGGCAAAUUGCAAAUAUCUACUUCCUUUAAAAUUUGCUGUACUCGUUCUGCUGAAUUUUUACUAUUGCUGUUAAAUUUCAUUAUGCAAUAUUCCUUUAAAGGUUCUAAAGUUGGUGUGAAUGUUGAGUUGGAAAUGUAAACUGGGUCAUUUGUUGUAUUUAUAAAUUUUACGUAUGGCAUAUCUGGAGAUAUGAUUGUAUUUCCACAAAAAAAUCCUGGUAGAAUUUCUUGAGAGUGUACCACCAUAUCUUCACAGAUUUGCAAAUUUGAAAUUUUUCUUAUCACUUCAAUCGGUUUGGCACAAUGAACCCAUUGUUAAUAUUGUCCGUUAUUGGAAUUGAUAUUUGCACCUUUCCUAAAUUGAAACUGAGUAACCAUGUCUCAUAAUCGAUAAUGCAUUUAUGAUUCGUUAAGAAAUCACGCCCUAAUAUUCCAUCAGUUGCUAUUGGGAAAUUACUAGGUACCAAGUGAAAAGUAUGCCUUACAGACAAACCUGGUUCAAAAUGCAAGUCGGUUAUUGUCGUUGCUAGUGUAUAAACCGUCCCGUUUGUUAUACCCGUUAAUCGAGUUUUAUUUGCUGUGUCAACAAUGUGCAUGGGAUUAAUUUUGUCAACUUUAAAAAGCGAUACAUCUGCUCCACAAUCAAUAAUAAAGGUACACUUGGUGUUCGCCAUUUGAACGCCAGCUGUGAUGAAAUUUGAGGCGCUCAAAUUAAUGGUCAGCAAAGUCAUUCGCUCAAUAUUCGUAUUGACAUCUGUAUGCGCUGGUCUAAAAAAUGUUGUUGCAUUUGUUGGGGUUGCUGGGUUUGCACGACAUGAGCAAACGUCGGAGAAGCUUGGGUUGGAUAAAUUAACUGGCUUGCAGCUUGGUUGGCUUGCGAUCCGGGUGCGUUGCCUUGUUGGGGUGUUAAAUUUCCAGCCAGUGGGUUUAUACUUGCAUAGUACACGCGACUAUAUCUGUUAGCGUUUUGGCUCUGAAAACGACCACGGCCAAAACCUCUAUUACGGAAAUUGUUAUUUCCACGAUAAUUGUUUUGGUUAUAAUCUCGAGCUGGGGGUCUGUCAUUGUAAUUUCUGAAAGAACGGAAUCGAUCAUAUGAAUUAUUACGAUUCGAAUGUCCUCCUCUCGAGAAAUUUCGUCUAAAAUUUCUCGGCGUGUUUUCGUAUCUACGAUUUUGAUGGCUGCCUGUUUGCAAAACUUGAGCCGUUGUGCUAGUAAUGUUAUCAUUCUCGAUCAUAAUGUUGCAUGCCUCUUUUAGCGUUUCGAAUUUUCCAAUUCGUAACAUCAUUUUUGUUUCAGUUGACGAUUACUGGUUUAUCAUUGCUUUAAUAGCCGCUUUGAGUGCGAGUUUUCUUGCGACAUCCGUAGGGAUUUGUUCACUUAUAUAUGCACGAGUCAAUUUCUCGCACAUUUUCUCUAUGUCAGCGGUGUAUUUUUGGGUUUCAUUUCUUUGCCAUUUAAUGUUCUGUAGAUUACUGAGUACUAAAUCAGCACUCGUUCUAUCCACACAGUUGUCUGUAAUUUUGGUUACAAUUGUAGUCAAAUCAGCGGGUACAUCCGUGAACAAUUCUCUCGCUUUGCCCGUCAGUUUGGUCAAUGCUAACUGAAUUGUUCCGGGUUUCUGUUGUUCGGUAACAACACUAUUCAAAAAUGUUAUCGCAUCCGUGAAGGAUUUUGCUCCCUCCGGGCUGCCAUCAUAAACCGGAAUUAAUUCCGCUAUCUUAGAUGCAGUUGCGAUAUCAAGUGCCAUCUUGUUUAAACGGUUCUUUGCUAUUAUUGUAUUAACUGCGUUUUUAAAUUUAAAUAUGUAAAAACUUCCCGAAUCCAGUUUUUGUUAAUUAUUGCUAAAGCACUUUGGUAUGCAUCUUUCGCAAGCUGUAUCAAACAAUCAUGUUGCAAGUUUGAAAUACUUGUGUCGGCUAAAAUUAAUUUUUGGAUAUGAAUGUAAAGAGUUUGUAUUUUUGAUCUUUUUGCAACUAGCGUUUCUGGUUUAUAAACCUUGUUUACAGAUUUUUUAAAAUUUGUAGCAAUCCAAUUCAGUUCAUCAAUCUUUUCUUCUAUUACUUUAAUCAUCACUUUGUCGCAAUAACAUUUUCAAGUUUUAAAAUUAACAAAAUUCAUUUAGGAAAAAUAGUACUUUAACACAUGAUAAGAAUGACUGUUUUAAGAAAUACACAAAAAAAAAAUGUAAAAUGAUCAGCUAGUACCUUGAGAUGUCCGGGGCCAUUUGGACUGCUUGUCGUUUCAGCUCGUUUCUGGUCCGCUUGCUCUGUACUCAUGCACACUUUUUUUUUAACACUGUUUACCUCUUAACGGCGGGUAGAUGCCUUAUAGUUUUUGAGAACCACUUUCAUUUUAGUUUAAAUAAUUAUUGUCUCGCCCGCACAACCCUGGUCUAACUGUUUCCAGAGAAGCCUGUUUUUUUGCGAUUAUUGUCCACCAGUAUGUAAUAAAAAUGAACUGGGUAAAUAUCGUUGUUACUGCGACGAUUGCACACUUCAGAGUGUUCAUUUUUGUCCACUUUUCAUCAUCGUCACUAUUUCAACUGCUUCUUCACAAAAGCUUGUUUUUCACUGUUUUCUAACACAAAAUACCACUUUAAUUUUUUUUACUGAUCACUAAUGUCGUUCUUCAGAUUGCAGGACCGACUAAGUCUGGUCGCCAUGAAAUAUUAAGGAUUUUCUUUAAAUCCAAAAACCCGACUCGUUUUGUUGAAUGCUGGAAUCAAUCUGUUUAUUCAAAAAAAAAAAAAAACUUUUCAUUACAAUUCGACUUAAAAUCUACACGAAGUCUUAACUCUACACAACAUUAAUUCUAGGGGAGGAGCUUGGAUUUACUUCAGGAUUGGCAAUAGCCAAUCCUCAUAGAACAAGCUAACUUGGGUUCGGUAUACGAACCACCAAUACAUGUGACAUGUGUCUUUACUACGAUUUUGAUGAUUCUCCAUAACACAAUGUAGGUCAGGCAUAUACCAACUGCCUACAGUGCAAUGGACUGUAAUCUGAGCCUUUGUUUUGAAUUGUUCGAAAAGCGUUUCGGUGUUAUGGUUUGGAAGUAAAGCGUAUUUAAGCAAACAAGUGCAAUCAAUAAAUUUGAAUGAGGUUGACUAUGAAAUUUGGAUGAGCAUGCACUUGCGUGUUUCGACAGUCACAAGUGUCUGUUUCCUUGAUAGAAGGGAACUAAAACUUGAACUGUUAAUGAUGUUAUGAGAAAGAUGAGUUUCUUAUCGCGGAUACAUGUCUCAUGUAGAAAGGAUAUUUUUUUAAGAAAUAUGAUAUUGGAAUGCUACACUAGCAUUUAUAAUGCUAACUAUUUGUUCAUGCGACAUUUGUGGUUGAGCACUAUUCUGUUCUUUGGUACUUUCAUUACCCAUUUUGAAUCACUUAUGGGGUUUUCACUUUGCACAGGAGAGUCUUCGCUUUUCAACUUAUUUUCCGAUCACACUAGUCACUUAGAAGUUUUCGAACUUCUAGCACUGUCACGGUCGCCAUGUGGCAUAGGUACCGGACU